GGUAAAACAACAUUUACAUGUAGAGAUGGAUACACAUUAGUUGGUGUCACAAGUACUUUGUGCCUAGAUGGACAGUACCAGGAUCAAUUUCCAGUAUGCUACGCUAACUGUAAGGCAUCAAUUAGUAUAGUCAAUGGUCAGUACACUGGAAGUUUUAAUCAUGGAGGGUCCAUCAUUUUCACAUGUGAUGUUGGUUACACGUUGGUAGGAGAAUCAACGAUUACAUGCGACAAUGGUCAAUAUAGUUCGUCAUACGCAGAAUGCAAAGCUAACUGUCAAAGUCCACCCCUUGUUAUAAAUGGCCUCUUCAAUGGAACCAUUAUCCAUGGCGGUGUCAUACGUUAUAAAUGUUUUGAAGGUUAUACACUUGAUGGGAAUGAGUACUUGAAUUGCAUUGACGGUUCCUACAUAGAGCAGCCCCCUAGCUGCAUUGCUGACUGCCAAGAUCCUGGAACUCCAUUGGCAGGUUUUCGAUACACGUCUUCACUGAGUCACAAUGGUAUUAUCCACUUUGGUUGUCUGACAGGAUUCACACUACAGGGAAGUGAAUCUCUCAUCUGCCAAAAUGGCCUAUGGAACACAACUAUUCCACAAUGUUCACGUAAGU